rfam:Acanthamoeba castellanii str. Neff unplaced genomic scaffold scf7180000084770, whole genome shotgun sequence.
GGUUUCAUGGUGUAGUGGUAUCACGUCUGCCUCACACGCAGUAGGUCCUGGGUUCGAACCCCAGUGAAACCA